ACGCUGGCGGCGUGCUUAACACAUGCAAGUCGAACGAUGAAGCCUAGCUUGCUAGGUGGAUUAGUGGCGAACGGGUGAGUAAUACGUGAGUAACCUACCUUUAACUCUGGGAUAAGCCUGGGAAACUGGGUCUAAUACCGGAUACGACCAAUCUCCGCAUGGAGUGUUGGUGGAAAGCGUUAUGUAGUGGUUAUAGAUGGGCUCACGGCCUAUCAGCUUGUUGGUGAGGUAACGGCUCACCAAGGCGACGACGGGUAGCCGGCCUGAGAGGGUGACCGGCCACACUGGGACUGAGACACGGCCCAGACUCCUACGGGAGGCAGCAGUGGGGAAUAUUGCACAAUGGGCGCAAGCCUGAUGCAGCGACGCCGCGUGAGGGAUGACGGCCUUCGGGUUGUAAACCUCUGUUAGCAGGAAGAAGAGAAAUUGACGGUACCUGCAGAGAAAGCGCCGGCUAACUACGUGCCAGCAGCCGCGGUAAUACGUAGGGCGCGAGCGUUGUCCGGAAUUAUUGGGCGUAAAGAGCUUGUAGGCGGUUUGUCGCGUCUGCCGUGAAAGGCCGGGGCUUAACCCCGUGUAUUGCAGUGGGUACGGGCAGACUAGAGUGCAGUAGGGGAGACUGGAACUCCUGGUGUAGCGGUGGAAUGCGCAGAUAUCAGGAAGAACACCGAUGGCGAAGGCAGGUCUCUGGGCUGUAACUGACGCUGAGAAGCGAAAGCAUGGGGAGCGAACAGGAUUAGAUACCCUGGUAGUCCAUGCCGUAAACGUUGGGCACUAGGUGUGGGGGACAUUCCACGUUUUCCGCGCCGUAGCUAACGCAUUAAGUGCCCCGCCUGGGGAGUACGGCCGCAAGGCUAAAACUCAAAGAAAUUGACGGGGGCCCGCACAAGCGGCGGAGCAUGCGGAUUA
rnacentral:rRNA from 1 species